GCUAAAGCUGGUUUGCACAAUGGGCGUGUGAUUCUCUAGUCUUCAUGGUAGCGGGUCCAACUAUCUUGACCGGGCUGUCGCACGCCUAUUCACAAGUGCUAUCUCACUACUGUUUGACGCGGGAACUUUUGUCUGCUAUGUUUCCAACCUGGACUGAUACGUUCCUCUUUAUUCAACCUGGUGGACGAAGGUUCCCCUCAGUUCACCAUAUUGACGCCCAACUUAGUGUGGACACCCGAUCGACAUAGGUCGAUGUGUCAUGUACGACAGGAGUACCGAAAUAGUACCGAUCUCAAGUCAUUCGACACUACCUGCUCGAUAGUAGCUCGGUUAAAGGUGAAUCGUUUCCGAACACUUUUCAAAGAUUUAGCGUUAAAAUACCAAAAUGUUACUUAUUGUUACCGUCAAAAUACCAAAACUUUUACCGUUUACAGAUUUUCAGACCCUCCCUCCCCCCAUCUAGAGCCUCUUGUGCUGGUCAACAUUUUUCUAAGGGGUCCCCAAUAUUUUGCUAGCGGAGGGCCGGGGCAACAGGUCCCCCUCCGACUACGUCACUGGCACGCACGUAUGGUAUGCUUAACUGGUAAACAGC